CAGAACUGUGGAAAGAUUGAAUUCAUGAACCGAGGUGCCCCUGUGUUUUCUAAUUCCUCAUAACAGAAUUUAAAAUUCAUGCCAGUUGCUGGAUUGCUUAGGUUUUAGCUAUGCAUCUCUUUCUUUUCAUUUAAUAUUCAAGUGCUAUUUGUUCAUGAUCCUUAAAAAUAACGAAUGGACUUAUUUUUAUGGACCUCCUUUAAGUAAUCCCCAAAGGCAAACAGAGCUCCAGACUCAAUACACAUUCAGUAAAGCAGAACCACCUUUUCACCAUAACCCUUGCCUCAUAAAGAACCGCACCCAUUUAUUCACAUUUGACAUUCAUUUAUUAAACUAGCCAGAUGCAGUGUAUUGAUUUAUCUUCCCAUAGUUGUAGAAACACAUGACUCAGUCCUUUGAGAGCCUCAUAACUGGUUCUGACUGGACAGCUUUUCUUAGCUGUCCUGUGCUUUAGCACCUUUUGUGAUGCCAGGACUCUGGACGUGCCUGCCCCUCCAGAUUUCAGGGUGCUGCUCUGCCCUGUGGCCCUGCUUCUCUGAUGUGUGAAAGAGAAGUCAUGGAUUUUCUCCGUGUUCCAUUUUUCCAUGCUGUCUGGGUGCCAGUUGGCUGAUUUCUUUCUCCUUGUCGUGAGGCUGCUUCUUGCUUCUUUGCCAAUUCUUGUGGUUUUCUAUUGGAGGCAAGGCCUUGAGGACUCUGCUUCUUUGCCAGCAGCAUUUGUAUUCCUGCAAGCAUUCGUCAGUGUUCCUCUAGGGUCCGGCUCUGUUAUGUGGAGGAAACACCAGUUUGCUGUGAAUAGACCUGAUUAUCAGCACUGCAGAGCCAAGUGUAUCCGCAGAUCGCAGGACUUCCAGUGUGGCUGGUGGAAAGGAGCCCUGUUCCGCCCCGGGUUUGCUACUCAAUGUGCUUGCCAAGGAAUGCAUCUCCUCCUCUGCUGAAGAACUGCCACCCUCAUUAGCUCUAUGGAAGACGGAAACAGAAAUCCACACCGGGCGUCCAACGCAGUGCUCGCCUCCAGACGCCCUCGGUAUGUGCAGCCGAAUGAGAAUCAGAGCUCUCCCCUCACACACUGCUUGCUCAAGAAGCCUGCGUGCACAGAAGCUGUUUAGUAGUGGGUUAAAUCACCCAUUCUUUGCGCAGUCUUGGAAACUCUGUGCAGACACUCACAUUAGGUAAACGGGUUUGCUUCAGUUUUAUUUAUUUUAUUUUAUUUUUUGCUUUUGAUCGUCUUACCUUACUGUGUUACUGUUUAUUUGCUUUCAUAUCCUUUCAUUAGCGUGGGCGCUGCAAUAAUAAUGCUGUGUCAUUCCGGGUGCUGGACAAAUAAUUACCUGAGCUCCAGGAUUGGGACUGAACCUCUGGGCGGCGCAGACAUCUCAGACCGAGGUCACUGUGGCUCGUCUGAGUCUACGGCCCUGCAGGGAUUUGCUGGGCUCUUUAUUACUGAACAGUGGCGAGAAAGAAUAUGACAGUGAGUGGAAAUAAACUGAGAGGAAAACAUUCAUACUGAGAAGUAACUGAUGGAAGGCGAACCUGAAGCUGGCUGGAGAGGCCUGGCUAAUUUGGCAUUUUCUGAGGAGCGUGCAGCUUCUCCGCUGCGCCGUAGCCUUGGCCAGAGCCUGCUGUUCACACAGCACACAUCACACUAUCGACGCCUUCCUUCCCCUGGUGUCCAGCAGAAAUGUUCAAAGAAAAGCUCUCGGAAGCCCGGGAGGACUGCUUGGGUCGGAAAGACAGGUCACACUGCUCCUCCGUGUGCUGAUUUCCCCUAGACCCAGCUUCGGCUUUCCCUUCCGGGUCAGCGGUCUCGCGCUGAGAGCUGAGCGGCUCCUUAAAAUUCAUUUCCGGGGCAUCAGGCCUGGGGCUGUCCAGGGUCUAAGGGGCUGAGUGGAUGAGGCAGGAGCUGUCCUCUGUGAGCUUACAGUUUUGUGGGGCUAGAAAUAAAAGGAGAGGUUGAUAAGAGGCUUUGUGAAUGGGAGAGGUUGUACGGAGCCGCGGGAAGGUACUCAAAGCUUGAGGAGAGCAGCUGAAUUUACCUCCAAACUGGAGGGAGCGAGUGCCUGAGGAGCCAGAUGAGGAAGAAGCAGCGAGAGGUCAAGGGCAAAGUGUCUUGGUAAACACAGGACUCAGUGAUGGAAGUGACGUGCUUCUAUUUUGAAGGGGAUACUGAAAUACAGUGCAAAAUCACACCUAUUGAAAACCUGAAGAAUGAUAUGUAUAGGUUUUACUUUUGUUCUUAUUGUACAGUGAUUGUGGACUCUGAAAGAGUAUUUGGGACAAAGACUCCCGCACAAGUCACCCAGCC
ensembl:lincRNA